GAUGAAGAACGCAGUGAAAUGCGAUACGUAAUGUGAAUUGCAGAAUUCAGUGAAUCAUCGAGUCUUUGAACGCACAUUGCGCCCCCUGGUAUUCCGGGGGGCAUGCCUGUCCGAGCGUCAUUGCUGCCCUCAAGCACGGCUUGUGUGUUGGGCCUCCGUCCUCCUCCCGAGGGACGGGCCCGAAAGGCAGCGGCGGCACCGCGUCCGGUCCUCGAGCGUAUGGGGCUUCGUCACCCGCUCUUGUAGGCCCGGCCGGCGCUUGCCGACACAUCAAUCUUUUUUCCAGGUUGACCUCGGAUCAGGUAGGGAUACCCGCUGAACUUAAGCAUAUCAAUAAGCGGAGGA
rnacentral:misc_RNA from 1 species